UACGGGGGGGGCAAGCGUUGUUCGGAAUUACUGGGCGUAAAGGGCUCGUAGGUGGCCAACUAAGUCAGACGUGAAAUCCCUCAGCUUAACUGGGGAACUGCGUCUGAUACUGGAUGGCUUGAGUUUGGGAGAGGGAUGCGGAAUUCCUGGUGUAGCGGUGGAAUGCGCAGAUAUCAGGAGGAACACCAAUAGCGAAGGCAGCUCGCUGGGACGUUACUGACACUGAGGCGCGAAAGCGUGGGGAGCGAACAGG
rnacentral:rRNA from 1 species